AUUUGAUAAGUGUAAUUAUCUAUAAAUUUUGUGUACUUAUUGCUAACUUAUUUUUUGAAAGGUAUGUAAAUUUUUAAGCAAGAUCAAUGGUUCAAUUGUUAGACAUUAAGGUUCUAAAGUAUACUAGAAUUAAAUUGAAUAGGGUUAGGAUUUGAUUUAGGAUUUAAGAUUUAUCUAGGAUUUGAUUUAGAAUUUAGGAUUUGAUUUAGAAUUUUAGAUUUGUCUAGGAUUUGAUUUAUGGUUUGGUUUAGGAUUUAAAAUUUGUCUAGGAUUUGAUUAAAGUCCAUUAAAUUUUCAAUUAGAGUUAAAUUAGAACUUGGUUGAAAUUUAUUUAAUAUAUAUUUGUAAUUGUUCGAAUACUUUUCAAGAUUUAUUAUGGAUUUUUUUCAACUCCUUUAAGAUUUCUUAUUGUUUCUUUUGUAAUUUCUUUAAGAUUUCUUUUAAAUUUGAUUAAAGCUUAUUUAGCAAUGUUAAGAUUUAAUUAGAAUUUAU
rnacentral:lncRNA from 1 species